CUCAUGGCAAUGUCUGAUCCUUAACCCACUGAGCAAGGCCAGAGAUUGAAGCUUUGUCCUCAUGGAUACUAGUCAGGUUCAUUAACCACCGAGCCACUACGGGAACUCCCAGCAAUUAUGUUUUUAUACAGCUGUGUGUCUGACCCAAGACCAAGCACAGGGCCAGGCAGCCUCCAGAUGUUCCAUCAACACAUACUAAGUUGUGCUGAUACCCUAGAGCUUCACCAUAUACUGUAUAUAGCUAAGGUGCCUCUUACUCAGUCUUAGAUUCUUAGUAACCAAGGCAAAUCCAAGGGCAGCUAUGAGCCCUACACAAGAAAAAUUUUAAAAUUUGUGUUUAUUAAAGGCCAUACCAAUAUCCCUUUAAGAAAGAAUGAAAUUUGGUAACCUCUUGGGGCAUAGUUUCUUUGUGCCACAUUAGCUUGGUUUGCUGCUGUGGCAUGGGUUCAGUACCUGGCCUGAGAACUUCCACAUGCUGCAGGUGAGGCCAGAAGGAAAAGAAGAAUGAAGUUCCAUGUUUUGGAUAUAUUUUUACAGUACUGUCUUAUCUGAUGCUACUAUAUCUCAUACAAGAGCAAUAAAAUAAGUACAAGUCCAGGUUAGACUUAACAGUUUGGGAAAUACCACAUUUAAAACUUCUUAAAGACAUUCUGGCACCCAAAAUUUGGGCAUGAAUAUGUAAUCUGUGGUUCUUUCUGGGGCAGACAAAAAAAAAAGCUUAUCAAAGAGAGACCCAUGUCCAAUCAGCUGGCAUACUGAAAAGAAGCCUGCUUUUAACACACAACCCUUGAGGCCUCACCCACUGCAAGACAUCCUCCAAUGCCAGGUAAACUCAACUCCUCCCCAGUUUGCAAACUGGUCUUUCAACAGACUUCUAGGGAGUUCCCUUGUGGUGCAGCGGAAAUGAAUCCAACUAGAAUCCAUGAGGAUUUGGGUUCCAUCCCUGGCCUUGCUCAGUGAGUUAAGGAUCUGGUGUUGCUGUGAGCUGUGGUGUAUGUAAGGAAAAUGAAGGGGCAGUGAAGGGGAGGGGAAACAUGGAAAUGAUCUCAACAGAGCCAGAUCGUCUUUAUUAGGCAAGGAGGGGCAGUAGUAAGUCUUAGAACAAGACUGGGCUACUGCAUUGAGGGUUGGGGGGUUGAAUGUUUAGGGGGGCUAAGUAUGGAAAUAUUUUUUUUUUUUGCCGAGAAGGUCUGUUUCUUGUCCAGAUUGUUUUAUCAGUUAAAGUUUAAUGAGUCAGGUCCGGGGAAACAAAGGUUUCUGGGCUUGGACAAUCGGUGUUUCUCUGGCAUUUCCCUUGAUAUUUUGGGGAGUCGUUCUUCCGGAGAGAAAGGCCAUUAAAGCUAAAAACCCUUACUUCAAUUUAGGUCGCAGACAAGGCUUGGAUCCCGCGUUGCUGUAGCUGUGGUAUAGGCCAGCAGCUGCAGUUCAGAUUCAACCCCUAGCCUGGAAAUCUUUUUUAGGGUGCGGCCCUAAAAAAAGCAAAAAAAUAAAAAUAAAAAAACUUCUGCCUAACUUAGACUGCAGUAAGGUUUUUUGGAUUUAGCCUUGUAGCUAGGACUCCAAAUAAAUAGGAUGUUGUGUCCAGGAGCAGUCUUACUGACUGCAGAAUCCUCCCUGAGACAGUAUUUAAAUUUGCUCCUGAAGCUUUCAAAUGGAAGUGAGAAAUGAGUCCAGAAUAGAUAAUGAAGUGAUUUCAAUCUCUUUGUUUAAUUGAAUGAGAAAGUCAACUUUUCCAAACAAUUAAGAAACAGAACUUAUUUUAUGGAGUUUGUGUUUUAUUUUUAACUAGUCUUGGGUCCCAACAAUAUGCAAAUAGCAGUUUUACAAAUGUGAAAAAUUAAUAAUUGAAUACAUUUUGCAAGUAUAAUGUCUACCCUCUGCCCCACCAGAAGUGAUGCAAAUUGUAGUUUCCCAAGUGCCAUGAUGGCCAGCUGGAGGGAGUCCAUCUGAUUCCAAUACGCAGCCCCACAGAAAUGCACAGCUAGUUCUGAGUUCUGGAAGAGGAUGAGGGAGACUGAAAUCACAGUGCAUCAGGCUUCAAGGUCUCUGUAUAUGUGUGCUUGGGAGGCUAAUAAAGUGGUAGGUCAGUCCCUAAUUCAGUUUGGCUUUUUUUAAUGCUGCACUCUAGUGCCUGCAAACUUUUACCCAUAAGGAGGAAGGACUGUGUAACUUAGUAUGUGCCUAAGGCCAAAAUGUCAUUUCGCAUAUAAGGGAGUGCUGAGUUUGCUGUCAGCCUAGAGUUCCACUUCCCAGGGGCCCCUGCUAGAGUUAAUUCGCAUCCAGCAGUUGGGGAAGUCUUCAGAAUGUUAAGACUGUCAGAAGCUGCAGCAGGGAGAGGUAUGAGCUUCUACUUCUAAGUAGCCAGUGUAGAGCUGGAGUCUGUUGGGAAAGGCAAGUGGUGAGGGGGGAGCAGAAAGCCCUGAGUUGCUCUCAACUCCACCAUUUGCUAAGGCUGUAUCUCUCCUCUCUUUGAGCCUUGUUCUUUUCAUCUGUAAAAUCCAGAAUUUCAUGCCUUCCUGGCAUAUUCUACAGGCUCUAGUGGCCGUCCAAUAAAUAAUGGAUAUAAAACUUCUUUUCCAACUGCAAGUCACUGUGUAAAUGUGAAGUAUUGUCAGAUCACAUCAAUGAGAAAUGUCAUUUGAGCUAAAACUUCAAAGGAAUUUGUCAAGCUGGAGGGGAAAUUUCAAGCUGAGGGACAAAUUAUGAUCCAUGCUGUAGAGGUACAAACAUGCACAACAUGUUUAAAUGGCAGGCUAUUCAGUGUGCCUGAGUCCUGGCCAGGAUGCCUAUCAUGAUGGGACCAAAAAGAGCCUAAGAAUGUGUGCUGGGGAGAACUUGUCAAUGAAGAGCCAUGAGUGCCUUCUUAGAGGCUGCGGGUAUUGUCUUGAGAUGGAGCGUAAUCAAAAGCUUUUUUAAUACAGGUGGCCGUAAAAGUGGGCAACACAAUUAAACUUCUAUCACGGAAAAUAUGGCUGUGACGUGUCAGAUAGAUUGGGAGCCAGAAUGGAAACUACCAAAGUCUGAGGGCGGGGAGAUCAUGGAAGGUUAUAGUUCGAUCUAAACCUGAGGUUAUAGUGAUCGGUCUUACUUGGCAAUCUGUUCACCUUGUUUCUUUGGCCCCAAAUAUGCCCACCAUGUUUGUGAGAAUGUGGCCAAGCCAAUGAGAUAGAAGGUGCAGAUCUUACAUCUACGGGGGCUGGACACGUCAGAAAUGGGUAAAAGGUACUACAGCUCCUCACACAGGGUAAGUCAGAUGCCUCUCCUUGCUCUAGGGCUCCAAGAUAAAUGAGGUCAGGGUUCCUUUGCCAAAGUUGUUCUUUGGAGAAUCAAAUUCCAGUUGUACCACCUAGAAGUGGAUUCUAAAUCAGGGGCAGGGGUGGGGGUUAGGGCUUGGUACCCUCCUCCACAAGAUUACUUUUAAAGGGAUGGUUAACUCUUUAAGUGUUACUUUUACCUAGUUGGACUCUCCUAACCCUCUGGAGUCUAGAAAAGAAAAAGAAAGUGAGCCAAGCAGCUGAGCCCAGUGCCCAAAUCGAAAUCCAAGUUGCCCUCCCUCGGGCACUUGAGGAUUUGGUCCAAAGUCAAGUGAGAAAUGUUCUUCUCAAAGACAGAAGAGGAGAAAAAAAUGUUCUUCUCAAAGACAGAAGAGGAGAAGACAAAGGAACAGAGAAGAGGACCUUGUGAAGAUGGAGGAAGAAACUGGAGAGAUGCAGCCAGAAGGAAUAUUGACGGCCAAGAGGAGCUGGAAGAAACAAGGAAGGAUUCUCCCUGAGAGCCUCCAGAAGGAGUGUGGCCUGCUGAUACCUCAGUUUCACACUUCUGACUUGCAGAAUUGCAAGAGAAUACAUUUCUGUUCUUCGAAGCCACCAGGAUCUGGAAAGAUUUAAUGUGGUAAUUUGAAGACCAUCUCAGGGCUUCUACAAAACUUAAGUGUCUUGUUCCAACCUGACAAGCCCAAAGUAAAAAGAGAGUUCUGUUUUUAAAAAGAAUAAUCAAUGUGAAUUUUGGAGCAUGGAGUUAGCCUCAUUAAGAUUUAUAGAAAUCCAAAAGUUUUUGAGAAAAUUGGAUAUAAAUUUUAGAGCACGAAAUGAACCUCAGUAAGAUUUAUAGAAAACCUAUAAAAUGUUUUUUUCUUUUUUCAGCUACACCCGUGUUAUAUGGAGGUUCCCAGGCUAGGGGUUGAUUUGGGCCA